CGGGGCGUAGCUCAGCCUGGUAGAGCGCACGCUUCGGGAGCGUGAGGCCGGAGGUUCAAGUCCUCUCGCCCCGACCA
rnacentral:tRNA from 1 species